CGAGGAGUAUUAUAGUUCAAUGACAGAUCCAAUACGAGGCAAAAGAGGUAUAAUUGUAGCCCACAAUAUGGCUCGAGCAUGCAAAAUACUAUUCUACGGUACCGAGCUUGUUACCUUUUUACCGCGUGCGCAAGGUGCUGCUGCUGCACUUCCUCAUUGCUUGAUCGCUGUCCGUCACAAGCCGCCGCAUGUUCAGGCAUCACACACCGUCUGCAUUUGCGGCCGUUGCACUUGACUGAUGCCGACCUUGCGAAUUAGGGCUGCUGUAAACCGAAUAGUUAACUUGAUAGAAUGGACCAUUGCUUCCGGUGAUGAUGAAGAUUGUAUCAAGAUUGCCAAGUCAAUAGCCCCUUCCAUCUAUGGCCACGAGGACACUGCAAUAGCUCUUGCCAUGUUUGGUGGCAAGAGAAGAAUGUUGAAGGAAAUCAUCGUCCAUGAGGAGAUAUAAAUGUACCCCUGCUCAGUGAUC